rnacentral:lncRNA from 10 species
GUUGAAGGAGAGGGAAAAUGGUUAAGCAUGAAGACAAAGCUCAAGAAAAGAUUAAUAUGGAAGAUUUCUCUAGGGAAUGUCCUGGAAGAGGAUGCCUGAGAGACACUUCAUCCUCCUAAGGAUGAUCUUGCUAGUGAACUUUUCCAAGAAAAAAUUUAUUCAGAAAAAAAUGACACCAAACAACCAUAUGUGCUCUAUGUAUAAGGAUGAACUUUAA